UAGAAUAUGCCAUGUUCAUUUGAGUUGC
rnacentral:sRNA from 1 species